UCCGUCCGUUGAAUCACACGUAUAGUAUAGAUUAUGCAUUACGCUGAGAGAGCCAUAUGAAUCUCUCUCCUUUUUCUCUUUCUAGAAAACCAAGCCUCCUCUCUCUCUCUCUCUCUCCUCCUUUUCUCUCUCUUAUCUGCACCCGCCGCCCUCUCUUUCUCUCUCUUCAUCUUCACCCGGUGAGUUCGCCGGAGCAAUCGUUGGAGCACGAUUUGGCUCGGAUCAGAUCGGAGCCAGACGCGGUGGAGCAGAAACUCCGAUCGAAGCAUGAGAAUACUCUAGAAUCGACAUCUCAGUCUCCGAUCCGCCGUCGUCUUCGAUCCUGCGCAACCUCACUCUCACCGAACCCUACAUUUUACCGCCGGAGUGGGUGUUCGAUCACUCCUCCGGAGACCGUGUGCUCGGAGUGCCGUGGAGCGACAAAAUCCCUCCGGUCGCCUCGCCACUGCUGUGGCUCUCCUUCCUUCGCUACCGCAGACGACCAUCUCAACCGCCGAUGAUCUCAGAUAUGCGAUCUGAGAUCUCAAACAGAUCUGAGGUUCACCGUUAAGCCGUUCUCUCUAUAACAGACCUGUAAUUCCUAGAUCUGUGGAAAACUAGGGUUUCGACAGACGAAUCUCCCUGGAUUUUUCAUCACCAAUUUCUGUACAUUUCGAUUCAAAUUAGAUAUUUUUUUAUCCUUGUUUCGUUUUUAAGUGUAAUUUUUAUUGAUCAUUGUCUCUGAGCAAUUCGUCAAUGGAGACUCAGACGAUCGUAGAAUUUCCUCACAAAUCUAUUUAUUUAUAUGUGUGUAUACAUAUCCGUAUGUUAAUUUAUUUACUCUACUGUAGCAUCAGUGAACUUGGCUUUUGAAUGUUCUCAUGGUUUUGUGAUUCGACUUGCAAAUUCGGAUUCAAUUGAUGCAAAAUUCGAUCUAAUUAGUUACUAUUUUU